rnacentral:rRNA from 1 species
GUCCACGCCGUAAACGUUGGGCACUAGGUGUGGGUUCCAACCAACGGGAUCCGUGCCGCAGCUAACGCAUUAAGUGCCCCGCCUGUGGAGUACGGCCGCAAGGCUAAAACUCAAAGGAAUUGACGGGGGCCCGCACAAGCGGCGGAGCAUGUUGCUUAAUUCGAGGCAACGCGAAGAACCUUACCUGGGUUUGACAUUCUGGGAAAAGCCGUAGAGAUACGGUGUCCGAAAGGGUCCAGAACAGGUGGUGCAUGGCUGUCGU